rnacentral:lncRNA from 1 species
GAGUGACAUAUGAUUGAAGCCUAAUUAGCUUGUUUAGAACUAUUGACAAUUGAUUGUUCAUUGACAUCUACUUCUUGAGAUUGUGGGUUAGUUCCAUGCUGUCCAAAAGGAAAAGGAAAAAAAAAAAAAAAAGACAUCAAUUUCAUUUAAUAAAAAAAAAAAGAAUCAAUCUAUUCAAUAUAAUUUCAUGAUCAAAUGAAACAUAUAUAGUACCGAGUUAUUAAUCCAUUUGAUAACAUAACAAAACAUAUAUAAGGAGAUUCAAUUACAAAAUCAGACCUGUGCAGUUGAUGAAGUGAUAUCACUUGCCUGCGCACAAAAAAAAUUCACCAAGUUUUAAGUAAUCUAAUGAAAAAGAACAAAAAAAUCCUUUAGAAUUAAAUUUUCAGAACUAGAUUAAACAUGUCCACCUGAUUAAGCCUUAUUUCUUCCUUACACACAACCAAUAUCACCAAGUUUUAAGCAAUAUCUAGUGCAAAAGAAAAAAAAAAUCCUUUUGAAUUAAAAUUUUAUAAUUAAAUUAAACCUGUGCACUUAAUGAAGUCCUAUUGCUUCCCUGCACAACAUCAAGAUCAAUAUUUGUUAACUCACAAAACGAAAUUUAAAAAACAAAAAUAACUCUUAUGUUAUACCUCUAUAGUUCUUGUGGUUUUUGGAAAAUUAGGGCAACCCCUUUUGUUGUGCCCAAGACAUAUGCAAGCACUACAUUUGAUAGUAAACAUUUUACUAGUUAGUUUGGUCUCACCAGGUUCUUUUGUUCUUUUCUUUUUCGGUCUACCAACUAGAGCCUUUAUGUCAAAUGGUCCAACUUUCACAGGCACCAUAACAUUAGGGGAAGGUUCAGCUUCCACUUCAGGCCAAGCACACUCAUCAGGAAUAGGAUUUAUAGUCCCCAUGUAUGUCAUCAUAAAAGAUUCCUUGGUCAGAUAAUGAUGCACAUAAUUUUCAGGUUGCCCUCCUUUAUGAAGAAUAGCAGCUACUGCAUGUUUGCAAGGCAUUCCACUAACUUGCCACAUCCCACAUUCACACGUACCAUCUGUAAUAUGUACCAGGAAGUUUCUAUAGCCUGCUUGACAACAUUCAAACAACUCCCCUCUACCUCCAAAGACCUUAAUUCUCCUUGCCUCAUUUGAGGAUUGAUUAGUCUUUCUCUAGCAUAUGGGGUCAAAUGGUCUUGCCAAGUUUCCCCUAGCUGAUAUUUUUUCAACAUUCUCACCAUUAGUUGUCUAUGAAUAUGCUCAAGAAUGGUUAGGAUAGGCUUAUCCCUAACCUCAUCCACCCACUUGUUAAAAGAUUUAGUCAUGUUGUUUGUAACAUGGUCAGAUUUCACAUGAUGAUCAAACCCACUUCUAGACCACUGUGCAGGUGGUAUUUUUCUCAACCAUUCACAACAAUUUUGGUCUUUAGCCCUAAUUUGACUCAUUGCCCUCUCAAAGUCAUACUGAUUUGCAGCCCUACAAGCUUUCCAGAAUAACCCCAUGACAUUCAAACCAGGAAACUUACACUUCAAAUUGGCAAAGAUAUGCCUAGCACAAUAUCUAGUACUAGCAUUAGGCUAAUAUUUUUCCAAUCCCCAUAAAAGACUUUUUUGUCUACCACUAAUAAUAGUUACAGACCUAUGAUCAUCAGCCCCAAUGAAUUCAUACAGCAAAGAUAAAAAAUAACCCCAACUAUCAUAGUUCUCUGCCUCACAUAUGCAAAAAGCCAGUGGAAAAAUUCCACUGUCAGCAUCUAAUGCAACAACAGAUAACAAUACUCCCAUGUAUGGCCCCUUCAAAUGACACCUAUCCAAUCCUAUGAAAGGUCUACACCCAGUUAGGUACCCCACUUUAAGUGCAGGAAAUGACAAAAAAAACUUUUGAAAAACUGGGCUAUUUGACAAUGGCCUAUCAACCUUUACCUUAACACAAGCACCUCUAUUCAUUUUCAUUAGAAUGUGAGCAUAUUUCAAAAGCUUUCCAUAGCAAGCAAUGUGGUCAGCACCUAGGUUUUUUAAUGCAAUUUUUUUUCCCUAUAUAGUUUUUGCUUGUCACAUUCAAUCCCAUUUUUAUGUUUUAACUCACUCCUUAUGACAUUUACACCAACUCCUGGGUUAGUUUGAAUAAGUUCAGCACAAACUUUAGCUAUCCAAGGUGUUGUUGCAUCUUUGUUAACUGAUUUAAUCUGGCAAUCAUGUUUCCCUUUAAUAUACCUAAUUUUAAAAGUUAUCCCAUCAACCAUCGAUGAAGCAUGAAGUUUCCAAGUGCAUUUUGGAUUGACACAACAACAAGUAUACCUAACACCAUCAUUUUUAAUCCUAUUUAACUCAAAACUCUCUUGGAUUGCAUAUUUCACCAUAACCUCUCUUAAUAAUGCAACAGAUUCAAAGGUAUUUCCUACUUUUAGACUAACUGAACCAUUUAGAUUUGGUUUCCACUCAUUAUCAACAAUGGAUUCAUACAUCUAUGAGAGACUAUUCUCUUCAUCAGAUGAGUGCCCUCCGAUAAAGCCAUCCUCACUAAGUUUUUCAAACUUAUCACUACCCAUACUAACACCUAUAUUGACAGGAUUUUCAGAUCCUAUUACAACACUUUCAUGACAUGAUUGACCACCUAACCCAGUGUGCACCAUAAACUCAAUAACAGGACAACUGUUAGUAAAAAUCUCCUCAAAGACCGAAUACAAUUCACUAUCAUUUGAAAUUAGCUUCCUCUGCCUACUUGUAGUCCAUGGCAACACAACAGAAAUUUCAAUCAAAUCCAUUUCAUUGUGUCCAUACUUAACCAUGACUUCUAGAAUUUCAUGAAACAACCUAAUAAUCUUAUAUUCCUCUGGGUCCCUAUAUCCUAUCUCAUACACCGCCCCAUUAAUUUUAACCAGCAAAAAAAAAGGUAACAUGACUACCUGCAUCAAUUUUAAACAAAAAGUAUUGCAUCAAAAAAUGGCUAAACUAAUACAAUUUUAUUUAGCAAAGAAUAAAAAACUCAACCUAAAUGGAAUAUACAUGUAAUUCGGUUUAAAAAGGUAUAAAAGAAAAUUCAAUCUAAUACAUAUAAAAAUAAAAAUUGAAAAGAAAAAAUAACCCAACAACUAUAGAGAAUUUAGUCUAAUAUAUAUAAAAAUUACCACUCAUAAUAACACAUAGAAUUCAAUUUUACAUGAACAAAAAAGCAAAUACAAUGAAUUCAAUCUUAUUAAUAUAACGAUACCAAUUGGUUGAAAUGAAAUAUUGUACAUAUACAACAACUCAAGAAAGCCCAUAAAAUAGGCAAAAUAAGUUCAAUAAAUACAUAUAUAAAUAUGGUGUAUUUGGUCUAAUUAUUAUAUAAAGAGCAAAUUAAAAAAAGUAUAUUAACAAAAUACAACAUUCAAUAAAAAAAAUCCACCAAUAAUUAAACAUAGUUUGUCAUUUAGAAAAAUAGACUUGAAAAACUUAAUUUUUCACAAAGAUCGCUAAAUAUGGAAACAAUUUUAUCAGAAAAUGCUUGCAAAAAUCACUUAAAAAUUAGAGUUACUAACCUUUAAACUCGGGUUCUCUCCAAUACUUGAACUCAACCAAUGCUAACAAAGCUUUGGUCAAAAUCACAUUAGAUUUAUACAACAUUUUUGGCGCCAUCCCACAUUCUCUCAAUCUCUCCUCUCACACGAAGAAUAUGGCAGUUUCUUCUAGAGAUUUUUUUUUUUUUUUCCCCGCUUGAAA